UACGUAGGGUGCGAGCGUUAAUCGGAAUUACUGGGCGUAAAGCGUGCGCAGGCGGUUGUGUAAGACAGAUGUGAAAUGCCCGGGCUUAACCUGGGAACUGCAUUUGUGACUGCACGGCUAGAGUGUGUCAGAGGGGGGUAGAAUUCCACGUGUAGCAGUGAAAUGCGUAGAUAUGUGGAGGAAUACCGAUGGCGAAGGCAGCCCCCUGGGAUAACACUGACGCUCAUGCACGAAAGCGUGGGGAGCAAACAGG
rnacentral:rRNA from 1 species